rnacentral:rRNA from 1 species
GCGACGGGUAGAAGUACGCGUAUGCACCUACCGUAUCAGAGGGGAAUAACCCGGCGAAAGUCGGACUAAUACCGCAUAAAACAGGGGUUCCACAUGGAAAUAUUUGUUUAAAGAAUUAUCGCUGAUAGAUGGGCAUGCGUUCCAUUAGAUAGUUGGUGAGGUAACGGCUCACCAAGUCCACGAUGGAUAGGGGUUCUGAGAGGAAGGUCCCCCACACUGGUACUGAGACACGGACCAG